GCCAGCGUAGUUCAAUGGUAGAAUGCUUUCUUGGUACGAAAGUGGUCGAGGGUUCGAUUCCCUCCGUUGGCUC
rnacentral:tRNA from 1 species